rnacentral:snRNA from 1 species
GGAUGUGAGGGCGAUCUGGCUGCGACAUCUGUCACCCCAUUGAUUGUCAGGGUUGAUUUGGCUGAUCUAGCUGGCUAGGCAGGUGUCCCCUUCCUCCCUCACAGCUCCAGGUGCAUCUCUCCUGAAGCUGUGUGCUCCAUUGAAGAGGACGACCACCCCCAAUAGAGGAGAACCGUUUCCUUGGUCAAGGGUAUAUGAGUAGCUGCUCUCCCCUGCUAGAACCUCCAAACAAGCUCAAGAUCAUUGCCAUUUAAUGUAAUUACUGAUAUGGCUGUUUAAAUGUAUUAAUAUUCAUUUUCA